rnacentral:rRNA from 1 species
CAGCAGCCGCGGUAAUACAGAGGGUGCGAGCGUUAAUCGGAUUUACUGGGCGUAAAGAGUGCGUAGGCGGCUUCUUAAGUCGGAUGUGAAAUCCCUGAGCUUAACUUAGGAAUUGCAUUCGAUACUGGGAAGCUAGAGUAUGGGAGAGGAUGGUAGAAUUCCAGGUGUAGCGGUGAAAUGCGUAGAGAUCUGGAGGAAUACCGAUGGCGAAGGCAGCCAUCUGGCCUAAUACUGACGCUGAGGUACGAAAGCAUGGGGAGCAAACAGGAUUAGAUACCCCGGUAGUCCCUGUCUCUUAUAU